rnacentral:rRNA from 1 species
GUGGCUUUGAGAUUAGCGGCACGCUCUGGAAAGUGCGGCCAUAGUGGGUGAUAGCCCUGUACGCGAAAAUCUCUUAGUCAUGAAAUCGAGUAGGACGGGGCACGAGAAACCUUGUCUGAAUAUGGGGGGACCAUCCUCCAAGGCUAAAUACUACUGACUGACCGAUAGUGAACUAGUACCGUGAGGGAAAGGCGAAAAGAACCCCGGAGAGGGGAGUGAAAUAGAUCCUGAAACCGCAUGCGUACAAGCAGUGGGAGCAGACUUUGUUCUGUGACUGCGUACCUUUUGUAUAAUGGCUCAGCGACUUAUUUUCAGUGGCAAGCUUAACCGAAUAGGGGAGGCGUAGCGAAAGCGAGGCUUAAUAGGGCGUCUAGGCGCUGGGAAUAGACCCGAAACCGGGCGAUCUAUCCAUGGGCAGGUUGAAGGUUAGGUAACACUGACUGGAGGACCGAACCGACUACCGUUGAAAUGUUAGCGGAUGACCUGUGGAUCGGAGUGAAAGGCU